rnacentral:rRNA from 1 species
GACGAACGCUGGCGGCGUGCCUAAUACAUGCAAGUUGAGCGCUGAAGGUUGGUACUUGUACCAACUGGAUGAGCAGCGAACGGGUGAGUAACGCGUGGGGAAUCUGCCUUUGAGCGGGGGACAACAUUUGGAAACGAAUGCUAAUACCGCAUAAAAACUUUAAACACAAGUUUUAAGUUUGAAAGAUGCAAUUGCAUCACUCAAAGAUGAUCCCGCGUUGUAUUAGCUAGUUGGUGAGGUAAAGGCUCACCAAGGCGAUGAUACAUAGCCGACCUGAGAGGGUUGUCGGCCACAUUGGGACUGAGACACGGCCCAAACUCCUACGGGAGGCAGCAGUAGGGAAUCCUCGGCAAUGGACGAAAGUCUGACCGAGCAACGCCGCGUGAGUGAAUAAGGUUUUCGGAUCGUAAAACUCUGUUGGUAGAGAAGAACGUUGGUGAUAGUGGAAAGCUCAUCAAGUGACGGUAACUACCCAGAAAGGGACGGCUAACUACGUG